rnacentral:rRNA from 1 species
GAUGAACGCUAGCGGCAGGCCUAACACAUGCAAGUCGAGGGGGAAGUUACUUUCGGGUGACUGAGACCGGCGUACGGGUGCGUAACGCGUAUACAAUCUGCCUUUCACUGGGGGAUAGCCCGAAGAAAUUUGGAUUAAUACCCCAUAGUAUAUAGGGACGGCAUCGUUUUUAUAUUAAAGCUUAGGUGGUGAAAGAUGAGUAUGCGUUCUAUUAGCUAGUUGGAGAGGUAACGGCUCCCCAAGGCGAUGAUAGAUAGGGGUUCUGAGAGGGAUGUCCCCCACACUGGUACUGAGAUGCGGACCAGACUCCUACGGGAGGCAGCAGUGAGGAAUAUUGGACAAUGGUCGGAAGACUGAUCCAGCCAUGCCGCGUGCAGGAUGAAGGUCUUAUGGAUUGUAAACUGCUUUUGUAAGGGAAGAAUAAGGGCUACGCGUAGUUUGAUGACGGUACCUUACGAAUAAGCAUCGGCUAACUCCGUG